UACGGAGGGCGCGAGCGUUACCCGGAUUUACUGGGCGUAAAGGGCGUGUAGGCGGCUUGGGGCGUCCCAUGUGAAAGGCCACGGCUCAACCGUGGAGGAGCGUGGGAUACGCUCAGGCUAGACGGUGGGAGAGGGUGGUGGAAUUCCCGGAGUAGCGGUGAAAUGCGCAGAUACCGGGAGGAACGCCGAUGGCGAAGGCAGCCACCUGGCUCACUGGUGACGAUGAGGCGCGAAAGAGUGGGGAGCAAACCGG
rnacentral:rRNA from 1 species